GAUGAACGCUAGCGACAGGCUUAACACAUGCAAGUCGAGGGGCAGCGGGGGUGAUGGCUUGCCAUCACCUGCCGGCGACCGGCGCACGGGUGAGUAACACGUAUGCAACCUGCCCGCCACAGGGGGAUAAGCGGAAGAAAUUCCGUCUAAUACCGCGUGACGCGGCGCCGGGGCAUCCCGGUGCCGCCGAAGGGAUUACCGGUGGCGGAUGGGCAUGCGGCGCAUUAGCUAGUCGGCGGGGUAACGGCCCACCGAGGCGACGAUGCGUAGGGGUUCUGAGAGGAAGGUCCCCCACACUGGUACUGAGACACGGACCAGACUCCUACGGGAGGCAGCAGUGAGGAAUAUUGGUCAAUGGGCGGGAGCCUGAACCAGCCAAGUCGCGUGAGGGAUGACGGUCCUACGGAUUGUAAACCUCUUUUGCCGGGGAGCAAGCGUGCGUUCGUGAACGCGCGUCGAGAGUACCCGGAGAAAAAGCAUCGGCUAACUCCGUGCCAGCAGCCGCGGUAAUACGGAGGAUGCGAGCGUUAUCCGGAUUUAUUGGGUUUAAAGGGUGCGUAGGCGGGAUGCCAAGUCAGCGGUAAAAAUGCGGUGCUCAACGCCGUCGAGCCGUUGAAACUGGCGUUCUUGAGUGGGCGAGAAGUAUGCGGAAUGCGUGGUGUAGCGGUGAAAUGCAUAGAUAUCACGCAGAACUCCGAUUGCGAAGGCAGCAUACCGGCGCCCUACUGACGCUGAGGCACGAAAGCGUGGGUAUCGAACAGGAUUAGAUACCCUGGUAGUCCACGCAGUAAACGAUGAAUGCUAACUGUCCGGUGCGAGUGAGCGCUGGGCGGUACAGCGAAAGCGUUAAGCAUUCCACCUGGGGAGUACGCCGGCAACGGUGAAACUCAAAGGAAUUGACGGGGGCCCGCACAAGCGGAGGAACAUGUGGUUUAAUUCGAUGAUACGCGAGGAACCUUACCCGGGCUCAAACGCAGGCUGACGGGUCCCGAAAGGGGCCUUUCUUCGGACAUUCUGCGAGGUGCUGCAUGGUUGUCGUCAGCUCGUGCCGUGAGGUGUCGGCUUAAGUGCCAUAACGAGCGCAACCCCUGUCCACAGUUGCCAGCAGGUAAAGCUGGGGACUCUGUGGAGACUGCCGGCGCAAGCUGCGAGGAAGGCGGGGAUGACGUCAAAUCAGCACGGCCCUUACGUCCGGGGCGACACACGUGUUACAAUGGCAGGUACAGCGGGAUGCCACGGGGCGACCCGGCGCUGAACCCGAAAACCUGUCUCAGUUCGGAUUGGAGUCUGCAACCCGACUCCAUGAAGCUGGAUUCGCUAGUAAUCGCGCAUCAGCCACGGCGCGGUGAAUACGUUCCCGGGCCUUGUACACACCGCCCGUCAAGCCAUGGAAGCCGGGGGUACCUGAAGUGCGUGACCGCGAGGAGCGCCCUAGGGUAAAACCGGUGACUGGGGCU
rnacentral:rRNA from 1 species